rnacentral:lncRNA from 1 species
GCGUGUCAUUGUCCAUCGGCCACAUUACGUAGGUGCUGUUGUUCCAAGAGAAACCAAAGCAAGAAUUUGAACUUUCAAGUGCUUCCUGCCAUUGUCUUUUGCUUUUGUUUGUGCUGCUGACUCCAAACCAGAUGGAUCAGGCUCCCCUCCGGCUGAGGGGUGAUGGGAAGUCAACACAGCCUGGCGAGGUUUGACAGCUUUGUCUUCUCUUCUAUUGCCCUUCAUCCGUCAAGCCUGGCCAUCGCACUCAAUCGGCUGUCACAUAUGGAUGUGGGGGAGGAGGUCACCGUGUUCCUGCAGCAUGGAGUAUUUUUUUUCUCUUCUUGGGGUGUACAUGAACUUCACGCACUGCCAUGAGGUGAGCGCUCCCCAGGGUACACGUGUUGCCACCAGCAAUGACACUGCUCCAUUGUGCAGGAAAGGAGAGACCUCUUCCCAAAACCUCUGCACUGCCAUGUUCUUCUGCCAUCAUGAGCACUCAUCUUUGGGUGCCCAGGGAGAGGUGACCUCUGGGUCUCACCCUGGGUGGGACACAGACCUGUGGGUUCAGUGGAAUUUUUGGCUUUUUAACAGGUUUCUCUUCUUGGGGAGAAAUGGUUAACCAGGACAUCAUGGUUUGGCUUGUUUGGGGGAAGACAUGGAUGGGGUUAGGACCUGGAAGAGUGGAAGGUGCUUAGCAGGAGGGAUUGAGGGAUGGCAGAGGGCCUGGGGGGAUCACUGGGGACACGGAGGGGUGGAAGAAUGCAGGGAGAGGGGCUGGCUGGGAGGGAUGGGUAAUAGAGGCCUGGUGGGAUGGGUGGGUAAGGGACAGGGAGAAGAAUGGAGAGAGGCAAAGCUGGACAGCUGGAGGGAUGAUGGGUUGGGAAUGAGUUUCCAUUUUAACUGGGAACUCCUCAUUUAGCCUGAUUCCAAGAGUGUUCUGUGGCUGGGAGCAGAUCCUGAAGGCAAGCCAAGGAGAGCAGCAUCUCCAGCAGCAUGGUCAGGUGAUGGCAGAUCUCAGCCCAGCUGUGCUGGUGGUGUCCUCCUGGCUCUUUUUACGAAGAGGCUCUCCAGAAGGGGAAAAUUCCCCAAGCAGCUGCACAUUUAUCCCAGUAAGAUGGCUAUGGCUCUGCUGACUCCUCCUCAGUGGGGCAUGGAGGACGUGAACAUGAGCACGGAGCAGUGGCAGAGUGGGGCAGUGAGCAGAGCCCUGCACAGCACUGGCUGGAGGAGACAAGGACAGAGGGGACAUUGGCUGGCCAGCACUUGGUGGCUCUGCUGUGAGGUAUUUGUGGGGCAGCUGAGGCUGUGCCUUCACAGGGAGCCUGAGCAGCACCCUGGAACUGAUGGUUUCUGCUCUGAAAUGUGACAGCAUAAUGAACAGAUCCUGCCUUCAAAUGAAUCCUGCAACCAAGGACAGCCUCUGCUUGCAAGCAGUGAUUC